AUCCGACGAGUGAGUCAAAAAUUUAAUAAAUUAAUACCUAUGAGUCAAAUGUGAAUAUAGAAGUAUUUUUGAAUUAGUGAAUUUGGUGAUUUAAAAGAAUUAAUUAGGUAAAUUGGGUCGAGAAUGAGGUAUCGAGACCUCGACUUCAUAAACCAAGCCAUAAAUAUUUUUAGAAAUAUUUAUGGAGUGCUAGUGAGGUAGUAUUAAAAUUUC
rnacentral:lncRNA from 1 species